rnacentral:sRNA from 1 species
GUACGUAGUAUUAUAAAGAAUCUCUUACAAGAUCUAUAGCGCUCAAAGCUAGAAGUGUCAAUUGGGUUGUCCAAAGCCCAAUGGUCAUGUCCAAUUGGACCAUUAGUUUUAAUGGGUUUUAAUGGAUGGUCCUUAUUGGACAAUGGUCUGAAAAUUUGUCCAAGACCAUUAAGGACCAUGUCCAAUGGUCAGCCCAUGGUCAGCCCAUAACUUAAUGUUGCUUGAAUACAAUGCAUUUUCA